rnacentral:rRNA from 1 species
UACGAGGGGGGCGAGCGUUGUUCGGAAUUAUUGGGCGUAAAGGGUGCGUAGGCGGUUUGGUAAGUCUCUUGUGAAAUCUAUGGGCUCAACUCAUAGUCUGCAAGGGAAACUGCCGGGCUUGAGUGUGGGAGAGGUGAGUGGAAUUUCCGGUGUAGCGGUGAAAUGCGUAGAUAUCAGGAAGAACACCUAUGGCGAAGGCAGCUCUCUGGGACGGUACUGACGCUGAGACGCGAAAGCGUGGGGAGCGAACAGG